rnacentral:rRNA from 1 species
AUUGAACGCUGGCGGCAGGCCUAACACAUGCAAGUCGAACGGUAGCACAGAGGAGCUUGCUCCUUGGGUGACGAGUGGCGGACGGGUGAGUAAUGUCUGGGAAACUGCCUGAUGGCGGGGGAUAACUACUGGAAACGGUAGCUAAUACCGCAUAACGUCGCAAGACCAAAGAGGGGGACCUUCGGGCCUCUUGCCAUCAGAUGUGCCCAGAUGGGAUUAGCUAGUAGGUGGGGUAAUGGCUCACCUAGGCGACGAUCCCUAGCUGGUCUGAGAGGAUGACCAGCCACACUGGAACUGAGACACGGUCCAGACUCCUACGGGAGGCAGCAGUGGGGAAUAUUGCACAAUGGGCGCAAGCCUGAUGCAGCCAUGCCGCGUGUAUGAAGAAGGCCUUCGGGUUGUAAAGUACUUUCAGCGGGGAGGAAGGCGAUAAGGUUAAUAACCUGUCGAUUGACGUACCCGCA